rnacentral:rRNA from 1 species
UACAGAGGUCCCGAGCGUUGUUCGGAUUUAUUGGGCGUAAAGGGUGCGUAGGCGGCGGAGUAAGUUGGGUGUGAAAUCCCGGGGCUCAACCUCGGAAUGGCAUUCAAUACUGCUUCGCUAGAGUACUGGAGAGGAGGCUGGAAUUUACGGUGUAGCAGUGAAAUGCGUAGAUAUCGUAAGGAAGACCAGUGGCGAAGGCGGGUCUCUGGACAGUUCCUGACGCUGAGGCACGAAGGCCAGGGGAGCAAACGGG